UCUGCCCAGGUUUGGGAUUAGAGUUGUCCUUCUCCUAGGAUGACUGCCAGAAAGCUAACGAGCUCAUCCUGCCCAAGGAUGUAUUGUAUCUGACCCUACGGUUUUGACCUGUCUGGCAUGGGCAACCCUACCAAAGGCAUGUGCCAUCACCAGCAUAGCUUGCAACCACAUAGGGGUACACAGGCUACAUUCCUACUAUUAAAAUGAUUAGGGCAAGUCUUACACUUCCUACUUUUCUGUCACCUAUCUAUAUUCAAUCCCAGGGAAACACCCAGGAUGUAACGAAUAUAUCCAGAACGUACCGAACCUGGGCAGUAGCCGCAGAUGAACCAAAACCAAACAAACGAACAAAACCAUUCCGGCCCCCGUACCCACCUAGGGCUCGAGUACCUCUCCAGGCCCCAGCUCGGCCGAGACCCCCAACUCCCAGAGGAAACCAUUAUCCACCCUGACCUUAUCCUCCCCGCACCGUGUUACCUCGUAUCUUCCCACGCACCGCUUACCUGCCCACCCUCCAGUCCGAGGACCCCCACGGCCCACCCGGUACCCUUCCCCUCCCCCCCCCCCUCACCCAAACCAGGCCAGCAAACCUCUGUGUGCUCCGAGGCUUCCAAUCCCUUUCUCACAAGGGCCAUCUGAAUUGUAAUAACAUUCUAAUUAUAUAUUAUUUCCUUUCAGUAAAACACUGAAGUUUCAAAAUUUUUCAUUAUUUCCUGUAAGGUCUCUUACAAAUUGUCAACAUCUGCUGGUUCCAUGAUCUGCAGAUAAUAAACUUAAAAUUGAGUACUGACAUGGUAGCUCCUAAAGCCUCCUCUCUUCAGUGCUCUUUGGAGACAAGGGUUAUUCAGAAUAUCUCAGAAAUGAAAAGCAGUAAGCCUUUAAUCAAAGAUGCAAGAGAGCCUCCACAAAAAUAUAUUUUGUUGGGAUAGAUGAAAUCAGUUGUACCUUGUCUAGCACUUAAAAAAGAGCUUUAUGGAUUCUGUGACUGGGUUUCUUGGAACCAUGUAAAGGGUAUGCAGAGUGAAAGACUUUUGUAUCUAAAAUGAGAGUAAGGUAAUCUGAGGGCCUCUAACUCAGAAACCAUGGACUGUCAGAAACUAUCUGGGUCAGCUGCUUCCUGAAUUGUAUAGGUUCUAGGCUUGAUUCUGCACACAACAAAGCCUGGGCACUUGGGGUACUCCUGCUGAAGAAUGAGUUCCAGAAGCCAGGGCAGAAGUUUGUCCUAUUUACAGAUGAAUACAUAGUGAGAGAUGCACAGAGAAGCCUGUGAUAUGUGGCUUCUUUAAAAUAAAUUGAGGGAGAAGAAAUGGCAACAAACCAAAACCACUCUCACAAUGUGCUUCAGCUGAGUUACCAAGCUCAUUUAUGUGUCUACCUUAGAAUGUCGUGAAUUAGGCUUUAAAAGUGCCCAUUCCUUCCAAAAGGAUAAAUAGUGGAGUUUUUGAAGGUCAGUUAAGAUGUAAAUGUCUUCCUUUGACCUAUGUGCUUGAGACAGUUGUGGCUCACCAGAACUCUUUGGCAUGCACACUGGCACUGUAUGUCUCAGGUAGCGUAAGGAGCCUGUAUUUAGUUGCAUUAACUUCACCCAGUGUGAUCAUGUGACUGGGGGAUCAAACCUGGAAAGAACUCCCAGAUAUAUCUACCAUGCACCAACAGACAGGGACUUCCCUCUGAAAGUUAGCAGAGGCCAUUUCUUUAAAAGGAAGGAAAACAUAGUUGUGGUGGUUGCUCCCAUCUCUCAUGUAACAGAUUAAUAUUUUCUUCAGCCCAAAUGGCUACAAAAAUGUAUUCUCCAGUCACUUGUUUAAGUUUCCUUAGUAUCAGACAUAGGACAGUAUGCAACAGAAAGAGCUGGAAAAAGGAAUAGGUAAAAGUGAUAAAGUAAUGCCGCUUUGUAAAAUGGAAAGACAUUUUGAAAGAUUCAUUGUACUACAUAGGAAAAGUAAAAAAAAAAAAAUGAGAAUAAUGAGCAAACACAACAUUAAAGCCUUAAAAUCUGCUCCUAUAGUCCUGGGUUUAUUUUUGAAUAUAAAAGUAAUACAAAAAUCCCUGAGGCAGGAUAUAAAAGUUAAAAAGAGUACCAUUUCCUAAACAGGCACUUGUAAUAGUCCUUCAGGUUAUUCUUUUGCUCUUUUGCCACUGUGUGGCAACUUCUGAAGAGGCUUCUAGGCCUUAAACCCUGAAAAUCAUUUCCAGAAAGAAGUAGGAUGACAGAUCCUACCCUUGUCCUGGCCUUCAUUAUUUUCUUUUGGUCAGUGGGUAGCUCACAAGGUGGAUUUUUGGAUUGCCCCUCUAAUGUUCCUCAUGCUGAUAUUCAACAAUAUAGGCAGGGCAGAUGGAUUAGAAUUACCUUGAAAAUACAUAUUGCAAUUGAAAAAUGUGGCCCUAAAAUGACAUCUCAGCAUGACAAAAAUUAUAUUCUUGCCUUCCAAAAAUAGUUGCAUAAUUGGUAUCUCUUGAUACUUUUCUGGGCAGGAUUAAAAAAGAAAUGGGUUUGUUUUCUUGUUGAAUAUUGAAGCUGAAAAAGUCUCAUAUCGAUCAGCAAUUCCAACUAAUUUACUUGGAUUUUUUUGAAAAAAGAAAGAGUAGAAAAGAAAAAGUAUCAGUCUUGGGGAAACACCUUAGAAAAAUUCUUUGGCAUGAUUUAAUUCUGCCUUCCCUAGAUUGUAUGUUUGUGUAUCAAUUUGUGCAAAAUAAGAAAUAUUAAGGUAAUAAAGUUCCUCAUUCAAGUUAUAUCACUAUAAUGACAGUUAUGAGAAUGAGAGAGAGAGUCACCUAAUGCUGUAAUUAAUAUUACUAGUUAGACUGCCUUACAUUCUGAGAGAGUAUAAGGAAGCAAAUAAAUUAUGUCUAUAGAAAAAAUUGCUACUAAUUCAUAAGACACUACUCCCAAGGUGAAGACAGUUAUGAGACUGAUCUUCUUCCACCUUUUUCUUAAAGACAACAUAUGAAGAUAACACUGUUUUCCGUUUCCAAGACUUCGCCGAAUACUUUUUUCUGCUCUUCUUUGGAAUCAUAUUCUCAUUGAUGGGCCAUGUUUGGCUGUCAUAGUGUAUUUUUGGUUCUAUGUGUACUCCAGAAUAAUUUCCAAACUAAUUGUGCCACACUGCUCAUUGGGAAGAUUCACACUCUCUUUUCAGAUAAUUUUAUCUGGCCCAGAGUGUCACAACCCGCUAGUGAAUUAAAUCUGUGUUUCAGUGCUCUCUGGAAAAAAGGGAUAACUGCCUUGGAAAUGCUCAAGUCUGAACUGCUAACCUCUUAUUCUCCAAACGGAAUGAAAAUGGCCACUGCUUAUUAAAAAUGACCUCAGGUCUCUUCUAACUUCCAAAUAUGAGCCUCACAUAAAUGUCCCAAGCUACACUCUUCAAGGGACUACAUUCUCAAUUUCAAUAGAAGAGAUGAUUUAAUUCCAGACCAAGGCAAGUUCUGUGGAUUCUUUUAAUUCACUAGUAUAGACAGAAUUGCUCCUGAUUCUCCCUACUGCUCAGCUCAAUACUUUGUGAAAAACCAGCAGACACAGUUCCAAAGAAUUGUAUAAAAGGAUUAGUGAUCUUUCUUAAGGCCCCAAAAUUUUUCAUGGUGCCAUGGAGGCUGGGAGACUGAAAAAGGGGAACCUCCUUAGGGAGUUAUACAUUAAAGACUGUUGUCCAGUUUGAAAUGUGAGUGAACUACAUUAUUUGUGCCAAUUUCUUUUGAAGUAAGAGUUCUGGAAUCCUUUGUUGAACUCAGGGACAUGAGGACUGUAGCUACUACUUUUAAACUAAAUUCUAAUUCAAGCUUUCUUCUUCUCAUUGUAAAGAUGAGAGCAGAAAGGAGGACUUAGAUGUACUUUUCUUCUUUUUGGAGUAGAUAGUGUCACUGAAGUUAACUUCUCAUUCAAAUUCCUGGUAUAUGAAGGCAAAAAAAUUAAUAUGCUACACAAUGCACUACUUUGCUUCAUCUUGAACAUCCUCUCCACACAGGCUAGAAAAGUACUGUGUUUUCAUACAUACAUAUGAAAUCAUCAGGAAAGGUUUUGUUUGUACUCUUUUUUCCUUGUGUGUUUUUUUUGGUUUUUGUUUGUUUGUUUGUUUGUUUGCUUGUUUUCCCUGUAAGAAUGGAGUCAAAUAAGUCUUUCUGGAUUAUGAUCCUUGAUUUCAGCAGCAUUUGAGUUGAUGAAUGGAAAGAGAGCAGCUAGAUUUAAAUAAAUUAGACUGACACAAAAGACAUGGAAAAAAUAAAACCCUGAAGGUCUUAAAAACUCUUAAAAUAUGCUUAAAAACUCAGUGCAAUUGAAAUCCAAAGAAACAAGAAAAUAUGAACACAAAUAUGCUGCUGACUUACAGGUGAUUUAUUCUUUGGUUUUUUUUCUGUAGAUGGCUUUGAGAAUGCUGGAAUUUUCAAAUCAUAAAACUAAUACUGGUAGAUAUUUUGGGAGUAGGAUAGAAGUAUUCUUAAAUAUGAUAUAGUGACCAAAAAAACUAUUUUGACAAUUUCAGUGACCUUCACAUGUUCUAAAUGAACCUCCAGCAUUCAUAAGAGCAAGCUCUCAAUAAUUAUCACCCUGUUAACCAUUCAGGUUCUUAUGCCUUCGGAGAUCUGAACUUUGGAAAUUAUAUCGAAAUUAUUGUCUCACAAUCAUUAAGUACUGUUUACUGAAUUUCCUGUUGAAAAAGUAGACAGUACCACCUUGAAUUACUCUCCAUUCCUGAAUAUUUAAUUAAUAUGGAACUUGAGUGUGAUUUAGAUGUCCUGGCAUUAUGUGUGUCAUUCUACUGUAAAUAAAUAGAUGCUUUAACUUCACCAGUGCACAAAGUUAAAUGUCAGAAAACUGUAUUUGCAUAUUUACACAGAAUAAUUACAUGCUGAUCAGAACAGUGUAAUUAGGGAUACUAACAUAAAAUGUUAACUAAGAGCCCAUGUAUUUGCAGAAAUAAAAAAGAAAUCAAUGGGAGCAAACAAUAAAAAAGAUGCUGAAUGUUUACUGUCUGCUGUGUAAAGUGAAGAACUGCAAAAACUUACAGAAUAACUGUAAUGCUCUUCAACCAGGUAUUUAAAUUAAUUCUUACCUGGUAAAAUUGUCAUAUAUUCUCUUUAUUUCUAAUUUUUUUUAUUUUUGAGAGCUCUUAACACCACAAUGGAGAGCUGGAGAUCUUGACUGAUCUAAUGUAUUUAAAUUUCCCUUAUGGAGAACAGGAUUUGAAGUGCUUGGGAUUAUAAUCAAAAUGAAUUUGAUGGUUCAUCUCAGCCUCUAAUGGAUUACAGUAUGAAUGUCAUCAACUUUACAUUACAGUAAAAAGUGUGAUUGCCUUCUGUAUUUAGAAAUGGCUGAAGUCCAUCUUUUGAUCCCAGAAGGAAUGCAGAGAGGGAAUGAAUAUCAGUCUUCAUUCAGAAGAGUCUAUUUGCUGAGCACCCACUUUCUGAAGAAACAUUGCAAAUAUCAAAUUAACCCCAAGUUGUCCAUUUUUCUCUUUUUAUUUUCAGAUGCUUUUUGAAUCUUGCAUCUGUAACUAGAACUGUGUGAAGUAUGGGUGAAAUUGCAGCUGAAAAACUAAAAAUUUGAGACAAUAACACAUACCAGCUUUAAGAAGCAGAUUGGCUUCAGCAGUGUCUUCCCUUUGUAAUAUGUCAGUGUUUUCCCUCUGUAAUAUGCAUUCACUAUCUGUACGACAUUUUUAGGCAGGACUUUUUGUGGAAAUAGAUAAUAUUAGGAUAAUAGAAUAGGAUAGUCACGUGAAGUGAGUUCACUAACAUAAUUCACAUUUUCAGUCAGGCAAAAACAACUGUGUCAACAUAACUUCAAUUCGAUUUGAUUCCUGUUUUGAAUUUCAAGUACUUAACAAAUGGCUCACAAGUAACUAUUCUUAGAAACUAUAUGUCAAAUCACUAUCUAAAGAUAUAUGUGGAAAAAUAGUCAUAGCUCGUAAUUAACUCAUAAACAGGAAAGAGAAGCAAAACUCAUCUAAUAGAACUAUUUGUUAGGAACUGUGACUUCAGCUUUAAUUUUUAUAAACUGGACUUUUCUGUUUUGCUGUGAUACCUAUAAAAUUUAAGUUUCUAUGUUUUGAAUGGUACCAGGCUGACCAAACUGUGAAUUUAGCCUAUAUAUCCAUCUGUGUGCUAGACAUUUUGUCCAGAAGGAUCCUGGGUUAGCCAGUAUUGAAAGCUUUAAUGAAAUCCAAAAAGUUUACAUCAACUGGCUUCUUUUGGUCAGCUACGUGGGUUAUCUUGUCAUAAAAAGCAGUCAGGUUUCAUAAGCAGGACUUCUGUCUUAUGAAGCUGUGCUGGCUGUGACCAAUGACAGCAUUGUGUUUCAAGUGUUUUUCAAUACUUCCCUAAAUAAUCUUCUCCGUAGCUUUACCAGGCACUGAAGUGAGACUGACAGGUCUGUACUUUCUGCGGUCCUCCUUCUUGCCCUUCUUAAAAAUUGGGUCAACCUUUUCCAGCUUCCAAUGAGCUGGGACCUCUCCAGAUUCCCAAGACCACUCAAAAAUCAUAGACAGAGGUGUUGCAAUGACAUCAGGCAACUCUUUGAGGAUUCUAGGAUGAAUCCCAUCAGGCCCCAUAGAUUUGUAGGGAUCCAGCUGGAGCAGUAGAUCCCACACAACUUCAGGUCAACUGGAAGCUGAUCUUUCUCACAGCCAUGGUCCUCCAGCUCAGGUCCGUCAUCCGUGUUGAAGACAGAGGCUAAGAAAGCAUU